GAAGUGUGGGAUAACUCCGGGAAACCGGAGCUAAUACCGCAUGUGAACGAAAGUUUAAAGUUGGGGAUCGUAAGACCUGACGCUUCAAGAUGAGCCCGCGGCCUAUCAGCUAGUUGGUGAGGUAAUGGCUCACCAAGGCUAAGACGGGUAGCUGGUCUGAGAGGACGACCAGCCUCACUGGAACUGAGACACGGUCCAGACACCUACGGGUGGCAGCAGUCGAGAAUUUUUCUCAAUGGGCGAAAGCCUGAAGGAGCGACGCCGCGUGGGGGAUGAAUGGCUUCGGCCCGUAAACCCCUGUCAUUUGCGAACAAAUUAAUCUGCUUAACACGUAAAUUAUUGAUUGUAGUAGAAGAGGAAGGGACGGCUAACUCUGUGCCAGCAGCCGCGGUAAUACAGAGGUCCCAAGCGUUGUUCGGAUUCACUGGGCGUAAAGGGUGCGUAGGCGGUCGGGUAAGUCUGGCGUGAAAUCUCCGAGCCUAACUCGGAAACUGCGCUGGAUACUAUCCGGCUUGAGGAAUGGAGGGGAGACUGGAAUACUUGGUGUAGCAGUGAAAUGCGUAGAUAUCAAGUGGAACACCAGUGGCGAAGGCGAGUCUCUGGACAUUUCCUGACGCUGAGGCACGAAAGCCAGGGGAGCAAACGGGAUUAGAUACCCCGGUAGUCCUGGCCCUAAACGGUGCGCGUUUGCUGUGAGCGGAAUCGACCCCGCUCGUGGCGAAGCUAACGCG
rnacentral:rRNA from 1 species